CAAUCAGCUCUGGGAUUAUGUUGUGAAGAUUCCUGAAUGAUGUCCACUCCUCCUCCAGGAGUCAAGAUGCUUUUCCACUGCUUCAGUAUCAUAGCCACUGGGGUCUGCCUGCCAUAAGAAUCUGUAGGUUGAGCAUCAACAAAGGAGAAACCUGUUCUCGAACAAGGAUGCAUGUAUUGGUUCACCUUCCAUAGUAUUGUUGAGCUCAACCUAUACUAAUGCUGACAUUGAGAGAAACUCACCCCCAAGAAGUGCUUAUGAGAUUCCUUCAACUGCUUGCUGCUUUAUCAGCUUCAGGACAGCUGGUCUCUGGGCAUGGAUCCAUUGCAGAAUGAAACGUUCACACAACUAAUUGAACAUGGACUCCAGUGUCUUUCGCUACAUCCCAGGCUAGCAAAAGAGAAAUGUAAACAGCAACCCAGCCACAAAUCAUUUACAGAUCUAGAAUCUGUCCUACCUGAAAAUUGUGAUAAGGGGAUAUUGGCACAAAGCUGGUGAAGUAACUAAUGAAUAAUCUGAUUUGACUUAAAGCUUUCUUACACAAUGAGACACAACCCAAACACAGCAUUCUUUAUCACAUAAUUAUAAUGCAGUCUGAAUGGUUAUAUUUCACUUUACUUUUGCCCACGUAUGUUCAUCUGACAAAUGAAGUCAUUUAAAUAAA